UACGAAGGGGGCUAGCGUUGUUCGGAAUUACUGGGCGUAAAGCGCGCGCAGGCGGCCAUUCAAGUCAGGGGUGAAAGCCCAGAGCUCAACUCUGGAACUGCCCUUGAAACUGUAUGGCUUGAGUAUGAGAGAGGUGAGUGGAAUUCCCAGUGUAGAGGUGAAAUUCGUAGAUAUUGGGAAGAACACCGGUGGCGAAGGCGGGUCUGCUGGGCAGUGCUGGACACUGAGGCGCGACAGCGUGGGAGCGAACGAGG
rnacentral:rRNA from 1 species